GACGGACCACAUGAACGUUAUUCGGAAUUACUGGGCUUAAAGGGUGCGUAGGCUGAGCAGAAAGUUGGGUGUGAAAGCCCUCGGCUUAACCGAGGAACUGCGCCCAAAACUACUGUGCUCGAGGGAGACAGAGGUGAGCGGAACUUAGGGUGGAGCGGUGAAAUGCGUUGAUAUCCUAAGGAACACCGGUGGCGAAAGCGGCUCACUGGGUCUCUUCUGACGCUGAUGCAAGAAAGCUAGGGGAGCGAACGGG
rnacentral:rRNA from 1 species